rnacentral:rRNA from 1 species
AGGACGAACGCUGGCGGCGUGCCUAACACAUGCAAGUCGAACGAGGUCCAUCCAGUGGCAACACUGGUGAAGACCUAGUGGCGAACGGGUGAGUAACACGUGAGGAACCUGCCCCGAAGACCGGGAUAACUCUCCGAAAGGAGUGCUAAUACCGGAUACCCCCAUCUGAUCGCAUGGUCGGAUGAGGAAAUGGAUUCCGCUUCGGGAGGGCCUCGCGGCCUAUCAGCUUGUUGGUGAGGUAACGGCUCACCAAGGCAUCGACGGGUAGCUGGUCUGAGAGGACGAUCAGCCACACUGGGACUGAGACACGGCCCAGACUCCUACGGGAGGCAGCAGUGGGGAAUCUUGCGCAAUGGGCGAAAGCCUGACGCAGCAACGCCGCGUGGGGGAUGAAGGCUCUUGGGUUGUAAACCCCUUUCAGUAGGGACGAAAAUGACGGUACCUACAGAAGAAGCCCCGGCCAACUACGUGCCAGCAGCCGCGGU